ACUUAAAUUGAAGAGUUUGAUCAUGGCUCAGAUUGAACGCUGGCGGCAGGCCUAACACAUGCAAGUCGAGCGGUAGCACAGAGAGCUUGCUCUCGGGUGACGAGCGGCGGACGGGUGAGUAAUGUCUGGGAAACUGCCUGAUGGAGGGGGGUAACUACUGGAAACGGUAGCUAAUACCGCAUAACGUCGCAAGACCAAAGUGGGGGACCUUCGGGCCUCAUGCCAUCAGAUGUGCCCAGAUGGGAUUAGCUAGUAGGUGGGGUAACGGCUCACCUAGGCGACGAUCCCUAGCUGGUCUGAGAGGAUGACCAGCCACACUGGAACUGAGACACGGUCCAGACUCCUACGGGAGGCAGCAGUGGGGAAUAUUGCACAAUGGGCGCAAGCCUGAUGCAGCCAUGCCGCGUGUGUGAAGAAGGCCUUCGGGUUGUAAAGCACUUUCAGCGGGGAGGAAGGCGUUAAGGUUAAUAACCUCAUCGAUUGACGUUACCCGCAGAAGAAGCACCGGCUAACUCCGUGCCAGCAGCCGCGGUAAUACGGAGGGUGCAAGCGUUAAUCGGAAUUACUGGGCGUAAAGCGCACGCAGGCGGUCUGUCAAGUCGGAUGUGAAAUCCCCGGGCUCAACCUGGGAACUGCAUUCGAAACUGGCAGGCUAGAGUCUUGUAGAGGGGGGUAGAAUUCCAGGUGUAGCGGUGAAAUGCGUAGAGAUCUGGAGGAAUACCGGUGGCGAAGGCGGCCCCCUGGACAAAGACUGACGCUCAGGUGCGAAAGCGUGGGGAGCAAACAGGAUUAGAUACCCUGGUAGUCCACGCCGUAAACGAUGUCGAUUUGGAGGUUGUGCCCUUGAGGCGUGGCUUCCGGAGCUAACGCGUUAAAUCG
rnacentral:rRNA from 1 species